ensembl:lncRNA
GUUGGAGGCGGGGCUCUACUCGACUGAACCGUGCGACUCCAGGGCACCUGCGCAGAAAGGUGCGUUAAGAUGGCGGCUGCUGGAGUCGACCGCUGCGCGGCGAUGGUGGUGUUUCUCUGAGAUGAAAUACAUAAAACCUUUUAUUUCAGAAAUUCCAGGGAAUUAUAACUGGAACUACUCUGUUAUGUCUCUAUUUGAAAGGCAAAAUGAAGAUGGACAAAAUGAAGGUAGUCUGUAUGUCAUUAUUAUUGCCUCCAAAACAUAUGCACAUGCACACACAUGUAUGUGUGCACUCACACAUAUGACAGAUAAACAACCUGGACAAACUACCAGUCAAGCAAACUGACCAGGAAAGGAAAUAUACUUUGCAGAAAUAAAUAUUUCAUACUUAUAGUUACA